rnacentral:rRNA from 1 species
GACGAACGCUGGCGGCGUGCUUAACACAUGCAAGUCGAACGGAAAGGCCCUGCUUUUGUGGGGUGCUCAAGUGGCGAACGGGUGAGUAACACGUGAGUAACCUGCCCUUGACUUUGGGAUAACUUCAGGAAACUGGGGCUAAUACCGGAUAGGAGCUCCUGCUGCAUGGUGGGGGUUGGAAAGUUUCGGCGGUUGGGGAUGGACUCGCGGCUUAUCAGCUUGUUGGUGGGGUAGUGGCUUACCAAGGCUUUGACGGGUAGCCGGCCUGAGAGGGUGACCGGCCACAUUGGGACUGAGAUACGGCCCAGACUCCUACGGGAGGCAGCAGUGGGGAAUAUUGCACAAUGGGCGGAAGCCUGAUGCAACAACGCCGCGUGCGGGAUGACGGCCUUCGGGUUGUAAACCGCUUUCGCCUGUGACGAAGCGUGAGUGACGGUAAUGGGUAAAGAAGCACCGGCUAACUACGUGCCAGCAGCCGCGGUGAUACGUAGGGUGCGAGCGUUGUCCGGAUUUAUUGGGCGUAAAGGGCUCGUAGGUGGUUGAUCGCGUCGGAAGUGUAAUCUUGGGGCUUAACCCUGAGCGUGCUUUCGAUACGGGUUGACUUGAGGAAGGUAGGGGAGAAUGGAAUUCCUGGUGGAGCGGUGGAAUGCGCAGAUAUCAGGAGGAACACCAGUGGCGAAGGCGGUUCUCUGGGCCUUUCCUGACGCUGAGGAGCGAAAGCGUGGGGAGCGAACAGGCUUAGAUACCCUGGUAGUCCACGCUGUAAACGGUGGGUACUAGGUGUGGGGUCCAUUCCACGGGUUCCGUGCCGUAGCUAACGCUUUAAGUACCCCGCCUGGGGAGUACGGCCGCAAGGCUAAAACUCAAAGGAAUUGACGGGGCCCCGCACAAGCGGCGGAGCAUGCGGAUUAAUUCGAUGCAACGCGUAGAACCUUACCUGGGUUUGACAUGGAUCGGGAGUGCUCAGAGAUGGGUGUGCCUCUUUUGGGGUCGGUUCACAGGUGGUGCAUGGCUGUCGUCAGCUCGUGUCGUGAGAUGUUGGGUUAAGUCCCGCAACGAGCGCAACCCUUGUUCACUGUUGCCAGCACGUUAUGGUGGGGACUCAGUGGAGACCGCCGGGGUCAACUCGGAGGAAGGUGGGGAUGACGUCAAGUCAUCAUGCCCCUUAUGUCCAGGGCUUCACGCAUGCUACAAUGGCUGGUACAGAGAGUGGCGAGCCUGUGAGGGUGAGCGAAUCUCGGAAAGCCGGUCUCAGUUCGGAUUGGGGUCUGCAACUCGACCUCAUGAAGUCGGAGUCGCUAGUAAUCGCAGAUCAGCAACGCUGCGGUGAAUACGUUCCCGGG